CCCGCCUCGGUCACCUCGUUGCAGCCAGCCAGCUCCAGUUCAAACAGACUCUGCAAUUCGAAGGACAAAAUAUCACAGACCACAUCAAAGACACUCUGUUUACACACAGCUUUUUUGCAGUUUCAUUGCUUUUAGCGUUUAAUUGGUGCUCCAAUUGAUUUUUAAAAUGCCUUUCUGGAAAUGUAAUAGCAGAAUCAAAAAUGUGUAAGGCCAAAAGAAUUUAAACGACUUGGAAUUGCUUUUAUUGUAAACAAAAUAAGAUCAAAUUUUAAAUCAAUAAAUGAAAUGCAAACAUG